ensembl:lncRNA
CACCGAGGGUCCCUGCUUUGCUUGGAGAAGACGUAUCAACGCCACUCGCAUUCUGCCCCACGCCGGCGCUCACAGAGUGCUUUAGGUCACUCUUUCCUAAUUUGGAUCAAUUAUCCCACUUCCCUGCUCUGACACAGCGUUUCUCAUUCAGCAUAAUGCCCGGUCUCACACUCGCGUCAGGGGGACUGAAUGUUCUCUGCUGUCCGAGGCCCAUCCGAAAUUCAAAUAUUGCCUCAUUGCAGAGUCUCGAUAAUAUUGACUUUCACUUAGUCUGCAGAGGCGGCGGGGAUAUAUUUGGAACAGGAAUGUGUAAUUUUUUUGAUGCUGAAGGUAAUGCUGGGGUCUGUAAAUCCCCUGUGAAUUCCAGCCAAACAUCAUUUCAGCCAGAGUCUAAGAUGAAGCACUUGUUUUUGUUAUCAAUUAGACAUUAAUGUUUGCUAAUGUGACUGCUUUUUAAUUAGCACAGUUAUA